rnacentral:rRNA from 1 species
UACGGGGGGAGCAAGCGUUGUUCGGAUUUACUGGGCGUAAAGGGCGCGUAGGCGGCCACCGCAAGUCAAUUGUGAAAUCUCCGGGCUUAACUCGGAAAGGUCAACUGAUACUGCGGGGCUAGAGUGCGGAAGGGGCAACUGGAAUUCUCGGUGUAGCGGUGGAAUGCGCAGAUAUCAGGAGGAACACCGGUGGCGAAGGCGGGUCUCUGGGCAGUAACUGACGCUGAGGAGCGAAAGCGUGGGGAGCGAACAGG